rnacentral:rRNA from 1 species
UACGUAGGGGGCAAGCGUUGUCCGGAAUUACUGGGCGUAAAGCGCGUGUAGGCGGGACGGCAAGUCAGCUGUGAAAGCCCCGGGCUCAACCUGGGAAUGGCAUUGGAAACUGGCGAGCUAGAGUGUGGCAGAGGGGGGUGGAAUUCCGCGUGUAGCAGUGAAAUGCGUAGAGAUGCGGAGGAACACCGAUGGCGAAGGCAGCCCCCUGGGCUGACACUGACGCUCAGGCACGAAAGCGUGGGGAGCAAACAGG